GAAGAAACAAAUUUAAACACUGAAAUAAUAUAUUUGCAUUUAUUAAGUGAGAACAAAGGAUUUCAAACAGUAACAUAUGCAUGGAAGAGUCUACAAAGCCAUGUUUACACAGAGCAUUGGAAACAGUUGGAAAAAUGCUAACCGACAGUAACAGAACAUUCCUGAAUAAGCUAUUAUAUUGAGUAAGAGGAACAAGAAAAUGGGAAAAGGAAGGACGGCUAAUGUCUAUUUUAAUCAGCACGUAUAUUUUGAGAUGAGGGCUUUCUGCAGAGGAAUACAAUCAGACGUUUAACUCUACAACAAAACUCAACCCAAAUUUUUUACUGGUGCUUUCUAGACUAGAGGGUUUGUGUACAGAAUCACAGAGUCAUCCGGACUGCUGUCAUGGUUCCUUUCCAGCAGUGUACUGAUGGCGGAGCCUUCAGCCAUCUCUGCUGUUGCACAAAGAAAUCAGCGUGUGCUACAACGCACACACAUUUCUGUACAAGAGGCAUUAAAAAAGUUUGAGUUUCAAUGUUAACGGUUAGAGCGCACAAUUCCUGUAACUCACAUAGAUAUGAAAGUACAAACAGCCUACAAAAGAUUCUCUUUAUCUGGCUUGACUCUUAUCAUGAGGAAUAUAUUGUUUCUGACUUUCCUUCUCAAAACCAGUCUUUGUAUAGGAGUCAAUUUGCAAAAGCUGUAGCAAGGUGAUGCUAAAUAAGCAUGGCACCCUCAUCCAUCUGUUUACAUCUACUCUAAUGUAAGCUGUAUUAUAUACAUUUGGACGUCUCUUUAUGUAUAUGCUGGAUAACAAACAGAAUCACAGAAUUGCAGGGGUUGGAAGGGACGUCACGAGACCACCGAGAUCCACUGUAUUUACAAGUUCUUGGAUAUCUGAUUUCCAUCAGUCAUGAUACUUUUUUUUUUCCCCUGAAGAAGCCUGUAUUCUUUCAUCUUUUUAACUCUGCAUGUAGAAAUUGAGGCUGUAACGUGUCUCAUUACCUCCACACCAGCAACGGAGACAGAAAAGCUACUUGUCAGCAUUUCUGACACAAGCAUUUAUUUGUCGGGUCACAUCCCAGCGCAGCUUAAAGGGUCACGGAAAGUCUCUUCUGUUGAGCCAGCUGGUGUGUGCUGUAGCUGGAGAGACUGAUCCCAAACAUGCCCAGGAGCAAGGCUGCCCGUUGCAGCAGUACGUCUGAUGAGUUGAUAACUAUUUUUCCUGCAGCUUGAGUCUAUAGGGAAAACAGGGCAAGUUAUUAUGCUGAUUCUGCUGAUUUCAACAGAAAAGCUCCUAAUCCAAUGAUGCUCCCCAGAAUGUUAGUUAUAAAUCCAGGAAAGCGAAGCUAAAAGGGAUCAGUAACAUCUUUCCUUAGCUCCAUAGGUAGCGCUGGACCAAACAGACAAGCUUCCACACAAACUCUUCAAGUCUGACAAAGCAGCAGGAAAUGCCAAUCAAAGUAAAGACAAAAAGUUCAUUAUUUACCAAUUCUCAGAGUGACAAUAAGAAAAGAAAUUAAUUGCCUCAUGGAAGUAUGCGAUACACCAACCAAGAAGGUGGAACAUAAUUGCAUGGAUUCUCUAUAAAGCAAAACAAUUUCUUACACAUCUUGACACCGUGAAUUAAAACAUACUGUGCAUCUUCCUAGGUGUGGCAUUUCUUGCACAAAGCCUUCAUUCUUUAAGCUUUCCUUUUGCAAUCACUGGAUGGAAAGCAUGGCAUCACUGAAAUGAUCCGCAAAGUUCCCAUUUCAAGGAACCUAAGAUUCGCUUCCAGUUUCUAUGAUGUUUUCUGUGUGAGCUUAAAUAAUCAGAGCUCAGUGCUCAACUGUGGUUAACGGUGUGGCUACUUUAGCAAGGGCGUAAGUACAAACAAAAGGAAUUCCAGAUGAUAUCACUAUGUAAGUUGAUAUCAAAAGAUACGUAGAGAGGAGUGAAAGUCCGUUGCUAGGACUGAAACACAGUAUCUGUAGCUCAGCUGUAUCACCUCUCAACCACUACAGACUAUGAUUUUGAAUACAGAUAACAUUGCUCAACAGCUGUGAGAUUAUCUAACAAAGGAAUAUAAACACUCAGUAUACAUGAGAAUGUGGCAUACAAUAAGGAAUAUACCCUACUUCAUAAUAUCUUUUCUAUGAGUGUUUUAUUCUUAAUUAUUUAGUUGAUUUAAAGUAUUUUCUCUGUCUUAUUUUUUCUUCAUUUAGUAAUGAAUACUCUGGUCCCUCAGCAUUUCAGAGGUCAUAGAAUCACCAAUGUUGGAAAAGACCUCCAACAUUAUCCAGUACAACUGAUCACAUACCACCAAUAUUUCUCCACUAAACCAUGUCCCUUAGUACAACAUCUAAACACUUCUUGAACAUUUGCAGGUAUGGUCAGCCUACCACCUCCCUGGGCAGCUCAAUACUAUUGCAGGUUUCUUUAUCAUCCUUAUGUCCUUAUACAUAAGGAAGAAAUUCUUCACUCUUGAGUGGUGAUGCACUGGCACAGGCUGCCCAGAGAAGCUGUGGAUACUCUAUUACUGGAGGUGUUCAGGGCCAGGUUGGAUGGGGCUUUGGACAAUGUGAUCUAGUGGAAGGUGUCCCUGCCCAUAGUAGGGAGGGGUUGGAACUAGAUGGUCUUUAAAAUCCAUUCCAAGCCAAACCAUUCUAUGAUUCUGCGAUCAUAAUCAUAGAAAUUGGCUGAAUUGCUUUACUGAGAACUUAUUACAAGUUCUUCAGAACCCCACCAUUCUCAUUGCUAUUAAUGUUUUCCUACUGCCCCAAACACACAAUCUAAAAUGAUAGAGAAGUAGUUUUAGUUUAGGCACUGCAGAAACACAAGCUCCUUCCAAGUACCCCGCACUUGGUAUUCCAGCAUCAUACCAAUUAUCAAGAAUUAUCAUAAUUCAUUUACUUUCCAGCAGAGGCUUAAUUAAGACCUCUUUGAGUUUUUAUGAAUAUUAACCCAACAGAAGCCAGGGUUCCCUCGGGUUGGUCAGGCAAUAAUUUGAAACAAAAUCCAUCUGAGCAAGAAAAAUACUGGUAUUUCAAAGAUCUAAUUAAAAGCAGAAAAAACGUUGGAAUUUUCAUACCUGCAGCAACCUUAUAUACCCAGGUGUCAUUCUCCGCAGAGGGAUAACCAUUAUUUCUAAGUCUUUGUUGAAUUUCAGUCCCUGCAAUUUUAGAAGACAGAAAACAUUACUAAUUCCCAAGGAUUUUUUUACACUGACCUCCAAAUGAAAUAGAAGAUUAAAUCUAAUAUGCUUUGUUGGAGUGCCAGGGUGCUCCAAGAAGCAACAUAUGCAAACAUUUUCUCCUUACCUGGAGCUCUUUUCCCUGUAAGUUCCUUAAAUGCUAACAUCGAACUCGUAUAUAAAGCCCAGCUGAGUUGCAUAACCUGUCACAUGUGAUCUGUCUGCAAAGCUUAGGUGUUGGCAGAGGCUGCAAGUGUCUUGCCUGGGGCUAGGUAUGUCUGCAAUAUUAGAAAGCUCUCUGGGAAUGUCUGAAGCUCAUUAAGAAAGCAAAGCAACAGCUGACCUCUUUAAGAACAAAAAGGCCUAAGCCUGUUUUAUAGAUAGCACUGGACUUAAAAAAAGAGGUCAUUACAGCAUUUUGUAUCAUGGACUGACAAUGCAAAUAGGAUUGGAUUGCUUUUAUGUGACUUUGAGUAUACGUUUAUAUCUAUAGCACAACCUGUGUAGGAAGCUUAAUUCAGCCAUGACCCAAGUUGAAAGGAUGUGUUAAUAAUAUAACAGAGUUAUUUGGAGGCACAUUUAAAAAUAAGCUCUUUCUUUUCUGGGAGCAAUCUCCUUUACCUGGUAUUAUGCAUGUUCUUGCCUCCCUUUUCAACUGCUGAAGCUUUACCUCUAAAAAGUACCUAAUCUAAUAUUUAUUUUUACUAUCAGUACUACUUUCUGUUAACUGCGAUUCCUUUGCAGUGAGGUUGGACUCAGUUCAGCCCCUGGGGUGGUAAAAUCUGAUCUACAGAAUGAAUUUCUCUUUCUUUAAGAAGCUUCCAUUGAUAGACUGUAAUGAGAAAACUCUUCUUUCUCACUAUCAAUUUAUGCAACAUUGGGUAAGGAUAGCAAGGCACAAUUCAGCUCCAGUUACAGUCACACUUCUAAACAUGCAGGGUAAAUCUUCAGGAGAUGUCAACCAUCACAGCAACACUGUGCUCUGCGAGACCACGUCAGCACUCAUCAGAAGUGCUCGGCAGAACAGUGCUGAUUUACACCCCUCCAGGCUCUUUACUGUGGCAUUCUGAAGCUCUAGGAGUAAUGUUCCUGCCGUAAACCAGCAGAAAAAUGAAAGGUUUCUACUUGGAGAAAUAUUCUACAUUAGGCAUUCCGCAGUGAUAUCAGUUAUCAAGAAUUAUCAUAACUCAUUUACUUUACAGCAGGUGCUUAAUUAAUGUUAUAGAAGGGAGUGAUGCUACUUUAUUCUGAGGCUCUGGCCUGCAGGUAGAUUUCACCUUUCUCUUUGCCACGCCACAUUUAUACUGUAUGAACUCUGUUAGCAUCAGUGAAGUUAUGUCUCAUCCUCUGAAAAGCUAAGGUAAGCUGCACUAGUUCUAUAGCAUAAAUCUAAAUAUCAAGCAGGACGUUGGGAAAUUGCCAAUCUGGGCCUUUUAAAAUACACACUUGAACAGUAGUCCUGUGCUAAAUCUGAACUGUUGCAUAUCUCAGCUGUAGGAAACAUUGCAUUAAUGACAAACAAUCAACAUAAAAUGGGGAGCUCGCUGAAGUUCAUGGAAAGACUUCUUCCUGAUUCGGGUUCACAUUAUCAUAACAGGAGACACCACUGAAACAAGGUGCAUCAGUGAAUGUAAGUCACUGUGUCUGUACAAACAAGUUUGAGAUUAAAAUCUACACUGGAAAAAGGCAAAGCCUUUUCUUCUUGCUUCUGUUUCUCACAGUAUGCCAAAUGUUAUCCUUUCUGUACAAGAAAAGAACCCAGGAUUGCUGCCCAGAGUAGGUUCUAAAGCCUCAGGGUCUGCACUUGUAUGGAAAUGUAAGGAAUGCAAAUUUUUUCCUUUAAAUUUCCCACCUUGCUCAUAUUCAAAGCAGUAUCACAAUUUCAGUAGAGCUCAAAAUGCAUUACUAAUCACAUUUGUACCUGUGUGUGUGAUUUGUUCAGUUCAGAGAAUGGCAGUGGAGGGGAGGGCUUCCUGGGGCACAGUGUUCAGACAGGAAGAACCUCCCAUCCAGCAUCUCUGCUGAAAAUAAAAGGAAAGGGAAACGGGAUGCCUUGAAUGCCACAGAUCUUUUACAAGUUAUUUCUUGGCUGUGCUCAACACAGUUAAACAGAAGAAUGUUUUCUGUAAUUGAAGGUGUUACCAAAAUCUGUAUGACUUUCCCAAGGUCUCUAAAAGAACCACAUGCCUGGCUUCUACGUUAUUUCAGCUCUGUGAACAAACAGAAGUCUUGCUUCAGUUCCUUUGGAAGUUCACAUCCCAGAAAGGAACCAUGAUUGCCACAUCAGCCAGAAGUUCUGCAGACCUGCACAUCUCAGCCACAGUCACUUCUAGGUUGGGCUGAGAGAGCAAGACAACCCCAGGCAGCACAUGGCUCUCGUUACAAGAGAGAUUUGCUCUCUUGGCAAAUACAUGAGGAUCCUGCUAGCAGAGCAGACUGCUCACUUCGUUCAUCUACUGGCACCUUUGCUGCUUGACAGACAGUUUUCUAAUAGGCAACAAGCAGGCAAAACGCAAAUUACAUGCUGACAUCCUCCCUUCCCUCCCCAUCCCAGAAUUAAAGGUGAGGAAUUCUUUGAUCCAACCCAUCCGUAUCUACAACCUUGUGUUUUAUUUCCAUUAAGAGGAGAAAUCGGUGAUGAAAUUAAAUGUUUCUUGCUGUAAAUCCAUGAAUUCAGGAUGAGCAUGUGCUGCUUUCCUAAAUGCAGUAGGAGUCAACCAAGGCGAAUAACUUAUUUGGACAUACUUGGAGAUUGGAAGGAACCUCAAAUGCCAACUAGUUCCAACCCCCCUAGUGUGGGUAGGGACUUCUUCCACUAGAUCAGGUUGCCUGUGCCAUCCAGCCUGUGCCAGUGCCUCACCACAUCUUUAGCCUUCCUGAAGCAGAGGGAAAGAGGAGCAAUGCAAGCUGGUAGUGUUCAAGAGACAGAGCACAGGAACAGCAGAUGGCAAGAGAAGCAUCUUUCACCCACAGAGCUGCAGCCACACACAGCUGCUCUGCAAAGUAUGUUGAGUUGGGUUCACAUGCAUAAAGACCCAUCGGUUGAGUCUGCAGCUGCCAGCAAACCCCAAGGCUAAUAUGUGGAGUAAAAAUGCAAACCAGAGAGAAAGGGGAAGAAGAGAAAAACUAAAAAUAGGGAAAAGUGAAAUCUACUCAUUGGCCAUUGGGAAGAGAAGUGACAGGGGACCCAAGCAAGCAGCUUUCCCAGGGCCCCUCUCCAGUGCUACAGAUCCCCCCAUAACACUCUCCUAAAGAAGUGACACAGGUUUAAGUGGGACCUGCUCAAACUCCUGCUGGUGCUUUUUGCUCAUGAUGCUGCUAUUGCUGAGUGCUAUGUGCUGUUGAGGCUGGUGCUGCAUCCUCACCUAUCGCUACACUCUCUGAAGGCAAAUUAUUAGGCCCCCAGACAAUGGCAAUAAAAGGGGGCAAAGACAUGUUGAUGGCAGCAGUCACCUCCCACAAGAACCCACCACUGCCAUUUUGAAAGCAAUUCAGACAUUUAACUGAAGAACUACGUUCCAAAAUUCAUCAUCCUUACAUAGGCCUGGAUGGAGGAAUACGGUCAGGAUUCUGAACUCACAGAUGGCUUCCACUUCACCUCUAUGUAUGGGAUGGGAGUAAAUACAAAAUACCGUCUCUGUGUGCAAAUGAAUUACAUGAAGAAAACAACUCAAUAAAGUUGCCUCUAUACACAACCAUAUGACUAUUUGGUUUUUUUUUUUUUUUGGUUUUUUUUUUUUUUACUUAAGCAGAUAUUAGAUCUGAGAGUACUUCCUCACAAAUCAUUCUAGGUGUUAUUUAAAAAUUAAAGCUAAACUCAAAGGAAUUUUGCCUGAGACAAAUGUAACUUAAAAACACCCCAGCUCUUCGAUGGUAACAGGAUUAGGCCCCACGAGCUCAUCGAAGAAGGCCGUGGUCCUGCCCCAAAGUGCUUACAAUCCAUUUAGAAACAAGUGGGUGCCAACAGAUGGAGGAGCACUGGGAAACAAAGAAAAUAUAGUGCUUGGCAUGCGUGGCAGUGUUCUCAGCUCACUCUCAGUCAGACUGUUUCCACAUUUUUGUGGGCGUUGCAGCAAAGCACGGUGUUAAGGAGGGAUCUGAAGGUGGUUAAUGAAUUUUAAGAUGAUGAGACAGGCAAGGAACAGGAACAAUGUUAGCCACAGUGUUGCACUACACUGUACUAUCUUUGUGGAGCACAAAAUGAGGGAGCUGUAUUGGAAUAUGUUGCUGGUGGAAGUAGGAAAUGCUGUCAAUAAAAGAGGAGCGGAAUACUAUGUGGAUGAACUGAGGCACAGAUCACAACUGUAAAUUGUUCAGUCCUUAAAGUCAUCUAAGGUUAUGGAUAGACAGUAGCAAGAGAAUGUGCUGCUGAGGCUUAUGGAGUUACCAAUGGAACAGCAUAAACUACUCAUUUACUUCAUGCUGUGUAUCGACUAGUUCACUUCCCACAGCUCCACUGCCAAGCAGUUACUUCUGUAUUUGCGGCCUGCCUACCCACAUUGCUUUGAUGACAUUGAAGGACAGAAUAAUAGCAACAGACAAAAAUUUACCAGCAAAGAUCCCCCACAUAAUAGCAGAAAAUCAGGCUAAUUUCUGCUAUGGAGAAAGGAGAACUUCUGCCGUGAAAGAAAAUUGUUGGAAAUUACUGCAGACUGUACCUGUUAGAAAUUGCAUACAAAGAAGAGAAAAAGAAAAGAAAGGAGAAGAAUUGUCUCGAAAGACUUCCAAGAGACGUUACUGGGAUGCCACUGUGGAAACAGGAAAAGUGACGCUGGAACUUUUUCUUUUUUAAGUAUUUCCAAGUAAAGAUAGGUUAGCAUUGCUGUCACUGGCAGUAGCACAGACAGAGCACAAACACAUAAACCCUCUGGCAUGCGUUUGUGGGCUGGAUUCCUCUCUGCUAACUUAGACCUGUAUAGCACAGAUGCCUGUCUCUGAACUAGCUGCUCUGAACAGCCACUUCAAUUUACCUAUUUGACAUAUUGAUGUUGUAAAUGAAAAGAAGUGAUGAUGGAUAAUACAGUGAGAUGAUGUAGCAAGCUCAGAUGUAGACAUCAACAGUGUAAAUGCAGGCACAUGGAUUGCUCUCCUUUGAUUAAAACAGGAGAGUUCAAAGUAAACCUGGUACGAAGAAGGGCAGCAUAUUACCUGAAGAACUUAUACAAGAUUAUCUUGUUCAACCUUGCAAAAGGAAGGCUGGGAGGCAUUCGAUUACUUCCUACAAAUACAAAGGGAACAAAUAGCAGAGAAAGCGGAAUGCUGCUGAGGCCAAAGGCUAAUACAGCGCUAACAAACAAAUACAGCCAUGAGGAGAUUAAGUAUAGAAAGACGGCGGCUUCUGGUGAAGGAUGGGUUUCUGAAACUUUACAAGAAAGAAAGCAGAUAAAAUAGUUUUAACACAUAAUUUGGCUAUUCUUCUGUACCGCAAGACCUUAUGGUAUAACAUGGAAAGCUCAUGUACUGUAACAAAGCAGGUGCAUAAAUCUGUAGUAGUUACCUGAUUCAUUAUUAGCUGUGUUAAAUCACAGACACUGGGGACCAUAUGACAAAAGCAGAUUCUUUGGAACACUGCUACUCCUAUUGCAGUGCCUAGCAGCAAAGAGCUGACAGUUUUAUGGCACUGUAAAAGCAUUCAGAAAAAUUACUCUUAGAUUCAUAAUAAUACAAGACGUAGUAACAAAAUGACUCAUCCUCAUUCUUCUUUAUAUUACACUGAACUUCUGCAGCACAGCAUUCAAUUGAAAUAGUCCAGGCAGGGUUACAUGCACACUGUAGUUAGCUGCCUUCCUACAGAGUUUUCCUCAGGGCACAAGAGCUCUGCACUCCCAGGUGUAGGAAGUCAGGAAAGGAAAGCAAGAGACAGGCAUGGCUGAAUGGGGAUCUGCUGGUCAAACUGGAGAGUAAGAAGAAAAAUGGAAACAGGGACAGGUAACCUGGGAGGAGUAUAGGGAUGCUGCUAGGCUGUGUAAAGGUGGAGUCAGGAAGGUCAAGGCCCAGCUGGAACUGAACUUGGCAAGAGGCGCAAAGAAAGGCCAGAUUGGAUGGGGCCCUGGGCAACCUGAUCUAGUGGGUGGCAGCCCUGCUCAGGGCGGCAGGGUGGAGCUGGAUGAUCUUUUAAGGUUCCUUUCAACCUAAGCCAUUCUAUGAUUCUAUUAUUCUGUGAUUCAAAAGAAAGUAGCAGCAGUACAAGAAUAAGCCUGUGUCUGAUAAAGCCUAUGUCUAUAUUGGCUUUGGUAGAAUGACUAGAAAGUACUGUCAUCAGGCUCACAUGCUGGCAAGGCAGCAAGGGUUUCUGAGGAGUAUGCACUGUACAUGUAGAGCAUAUUGUUCAGAGAGAGCUGUGCUACAAUCCUUAGUAUCUUGAGAAUCCAAAUUCUUCUCCUAUGCCAUUUCUGAGCUUCAUAUCAGUCAUGCAGAUCAAUUCACCUGCUUUGGAUUGUUUUUUCCUGCUGCUCCUGCUGAAUACUGAACCACAAGGACUCAUCCCAAAGGGCUAUUUCAACAUAUCGGAUGGGAUAAGGUGAUCCAUUAAAGGGUCCUCAAAGCCUAGGAUCACCAAAUGCUUCCUCUCUUAGAUACCGAGCAGAGACAUUGCUGUCCUUGCACUGUACUUUUUAUCUUAGUUCCCAGCUAGUGGAUCUCAGCAUCUCAGCUCCACUGUCCCUCACUCACAGGAGGUCUUCAAACACUGAGGUUCAUGGAAUAUCCCACUACACGUAGAAAAGUCAAUUAAUGAGAAGGACUGAAUUUAAAGGCCUGCAGGAAGAGAUAUACAAUGUGACACAAAGAACAAGUACAGCAUCUUUGGGGCUCCCACCUCCCAAGCCCCAUUAGACAGCCACUGCCCGCCAGAACGUGGGAGGUUCUGUACAAUAUUUGAGUGAAUAAAUGUAUUGCCUGUUUUUCUGUAGCUAACAUGUACAGUAGUACAGAAAUAUUUACUCAUUUUACAACUGAAGAUCAAAAGAACUUAACCAAAAUGAAAAAAAAAAAAAUACCAGAAAACCUCAAACCAAUAAAAUAAGCAAAAGGCGGAGAGAAGACUUGGGAUCUUGCAGCUCUGAAGUCCUUAAUGGAAAUCAGCACAUUUCAAAAAGGUGCUGCAGUGCUCACAGCACUGGCAGCUCUGAUAUUUGGUUCUACCGUAACCAUUCGUACAGCUUUGCAGAAAUCAGAGGUUGGACUGCAACAGAAAACUGAACUAGCAGAUAGGGGCAAGUGAUAUUACAGCACAAGCACUUCCCUGCUGUGUUUUCUGCUUUUCCACUCCUUAAAACCCAUAGCAGAAUAAUGGCUAUCUUUUUUAAACAAGAGCACUUUGGCUUGCUGCUUUUAAGUUACCAGAGAUGCUGGGCUGUUUUCACUGGACUGGGAACUACACGGGUGUUGAGAUUUGUCUACAUCCAUUAUUUUGGGGAGGUUCUUAUCUGGCAAGAAGUCAACCAACUUCCAGGGGGAGGUCCUGGAGGUCCCAGUUAACCCUGGAAUGAGAGCUGUAAUGCACUGUCUUGCAACAGUCCCACUAUUCAGAGCGUGUGCAAAUACUUCAGCAAGGUAGUGUAAUGGAGGCACAUACAGUGCAAUGCUGACAGUUUGUGAAGAAGAUGGGUGUAUUCAUAUGCUGUAAUGCCAUUCCUCAACGUCCGUCUCAAUGCUGAUCUGGAUAGGGAAACUUAAGGCAGACCUAUGGAUCUAUCUGGCAGCACUCACAAGACAUUUCAUUACUCAAGAGCACAUUUAGAAACAAGGCAUCAGGCUCUUUCCUGUGAAGUGCCUGAAACGCCCACUUAGAAAAGAUGGUGCAAAGAGGGGGGAGCUUGUUAAGGAAUAAGGCAUGUCCCCUCACUCUGCUCUCCUUCCCAAAGUCCACUAGACUCCAUCUACCUCAGGACACCCACCACAUACUGGCUCGUGUGCCAGGCUGAACAGGUGCUCCUGGCUAGUCAACGCUCAGUGGGUGUUCGUCACUGUGAGAAACAGUAUGAGAAAAUU
rnacentral:lncRNA from 1 species